CGACUUGGAGGUUGUUCCCUUGAGGAGUGGCUUCCGGAGCUAACGCGUUAAGUCGACCGCCUGGGGAGUACGGCCGCAAGGUUAAAACUCAAAUGAAUUGACGGGGGCCCGCACAAGCGGUGGAGCAUGUGGUUUAAUUCGAUGCAACGCGAAGAACCUUACCUACUCUUGACAUCCAGAGAACUUUCCAGAGAUGGAUUGGUGCCUUCGGGAACUCUGAGACAGGUGCUGCAUGGCUGUCGUCAGCUCGUGUUGUGAAAUGUUGGGUUAAGUCCCGCAACGAGCGCAACCCUUAUCCUUUGUUGCCAGCGAUUCGGUCGGGAACUCAAGGGAGACUGCCGGUGAUAAACCGGAGGAAGGUGGGGAUGACGUCAAGUCAUCAUGGCCCUUACGAGUAGGGCUACACACGUGCUACAAUGGCGCAUACAAAGAGAAGCGACCUCGCGAGAGCAAGCGGACCUCACAAAGUGCGUCGUAGUCCGGAUCGGAGUCUGCAACCCGACUCCGUGAAGUCGGAAUCGCUAGUAAUCGUGGAUCAGAAUGCCACGGUGAAUACGUUCCCGGGCCUUGUACACACCGCCCGUCACACCAUGGGAGUGGGUUGCAAAAGAAGUAGGUAGCUUAACCUUCGGGAGGGCGCUUACCACUUUGUGAUUCAUGACUGGGGUGAAGUCGUAACAAGGUACC
rnacentral:rRNA from 1 species